AGGACUAACGCUGGCGGCGUGCCUAACACAUGCAAGUCGAACGAGGUAGCAAUACCUAGUGGCAGACGGGUGAGUAACACGUAGUCAACCUACCUUUUAGUGGGGGAUAACUAGCCGAAAGGUUAGCUAAUACCGCAUACGAUCGUCGAGUGGCAUCACAUGACGAUGAAAGCAGCAAUGCGCUAAGAGACGGGACUGCGUCCCAUUAGCUAGUUGGUGGGGUAACGGCCUACCAAGGCUUCGAUGGGUAGCUGGCUUGAGAGAGCGACCAGCCACACUGGGACUGAGACACGGCCCAGACUCCUACGGGAGGCAGCAGUGAGGAAUUUUCCGCAAUGGGGGCAACCCUGACGGAGCGACGCCGCGUGUGGGAAGAAGGCCUUCGGGUCGUAACCACUGUCGAAGGGACGAUACGUGACGGUACCCUUGGAGGAAGCCCCGGCUAACUACGUGCCAGCAGCCGC
rnacentral:rRNA from 1 species